AGAGUUUGAUCCUGGCUCAGAACGAACGCUGGCGGCGCGUUUUAAGCAUGCAAGUCGAACGGCAAGGAGAGUAGCAAUACUUUCCCUAGAGUGGCGAACGGGUGAGUAACACGUAGGUGAUCUACCUCUGGAUGGGGGAUAGUCCGUGGAAACACGGGGUAAUACCGCAUGAGGCCUCGGGGGUAAAGCCCCGGGGUGAAAGGUCCAACUGGACCGUCUGGAGAUGAGCCUGCGGCCCAUUAGGCAGUUGGCGGGGUAACGGCCCACCAAACCGACGAUGGGUAGCCGGCCUGAGAGGGUGUACGGCCACACUGGAACUGAGACACGGUCCAGACUCCUACGGGAGGCAGCAGCUAAGAAUCUUCCGCAAUGGGGGAAACCCUGACGGAGCGACGCCGCGUGGACGAUGAAGGCCGUAAGGUUGUAAAGUCCUUUUGCGGGCGAAGAGUAAGGGGGGGAGUGGAAAGCCCCCCUGAUGACGUUAGCCCGCGAAUAAGCCCCGGCCAAUUACGUGCCAGCAGCCGCGGUAAUACGUAUGGGGCGAGCGUUGUUCGGAGUUAUUGGGCGUAAAGGGCGUGUAGGCGGCCCGACAAGUCUGGUGUGAAAUCGCAGGGCUCAACCCUGCGGGUGCGCUGGAAACUGUCGGGCUGGAGUCCCGAGGGGGAAGCUGGAAUUCCUGGUGUAGGAGUGAAAUCUGUAGAGAUCAGGAAGAACACCGGUGGCGAAGGCGAGCUUCUAUUCGAGGACUGACGCUGAGGCGCGAAAGCGUGGGGAGCAAACAGGAUUAGAUACCCUGGUAGUCCACGCUGUAAACGAUGUGCACUAGGCGUGGGACACGUCGGUGUUCUGUGCCGUAGCCAACGCGAUAAGUGCACCGCCUGGGGAGUAUGCUCGCAAGGGUGAAACUCAAAGGAAUUGACGG
rnacentral:rRNA from 1 species